rnacentral:rRNA from 1 species
CCUACGGGGGGCUGCAGUGGGGAACAUUGGACAAUGGGGGCAACCCUGAUCCAGCCAUGCCGCGUGUGUGAAGAAGGCCCUCGGGUUGUAAAGCACUUUCAGUGAGGAAGAACGCUUGGUGGUUAAUACCCAUCAGGAAAGACAUCACUCACAGAAGAAGCACCGGCUAACUCCGUGCCAGCAGCCGCGGUAAUACGGAGGGUGCGAGCGUUAAUCGGAAUUACUGGGCGUAAAGCGCGCGUAGGUGGCUUGAUAAGCCGGUUGUGAAAGCCCCGGGCUCAACCUGGGAACGGCAUCCGGAACUGUCAAGCUAGAGUGCAGGAGAGGAAGGUAGAAUUCCCGGUGUAGCGGUGAAAUGCGUAGAGAUCGGGAGGAAUACCAGUGGCGAAGGCGGCCUUCUGGACUGACACUGACACUGAGGUGCGAAAGCGUGGGUAGCAAACAGGAUUAGAUACCCUAGUAGUC